AAUUCACUGUGCGCUUUCAGCCAAUCAAAAAAGAGAUAGUGAGUUCAAUGUAUAAUAAAAAGUUUUGUUAUUCAAACACUGGCGCUAUUUAUGUGAGGUGUCUAUACAGCCUAACAUUUUCUUUAGAAACUUAUACCUCUGCUUUCUAUGUAGCCUCUCUCACAGCCAUUGUUUUUACUCCCAGAAAAAUUGGACGGAUGUGUGCAGCCCACUCCCCAAAACCCUUGCCCUAUUUAUGACCAAAAUCUCUACCUUAUUAAUGACCUGACCAAAAACUGUUGAUACCCUAUUUAUGACCUGACCCUUAAAUCAAUACCCUGUUUCAGACCUGCCUUAUAAUUACUGGUAGUUCCCUAUUUCAACUUUUGUUGAUGGUCUUACAAACAUACCCAUAUCACGACUAGAGAGCAAAAACCAUACCCCUGUUUAAGACCCAAAUGGCCAUAAUUGAUACCCUGUUUAUGACCAAAACGGCUGAAACAUCAUACCUUGGGGCCGCACAUAUCUGUAUAGCCCGUAUAAGGGAGUAUCACCCGGGGCCUGCCGCCACUUUUGAGUCACUUUUCACGGCUCACCAUCACUCGCUCCCUAGAUCCCUGUAACGCCCACCUCCACUACCAGAGAAUUGACCGUCGAAGCCUAUGCGGGGCCUGGGCACAACUACUUCCCGCGCUUUUCCCGCGCUUUUCACCCCCGGCGCGGUUGCCAAUUAGCUUCCCAGUAAGGCACGGUGUGUCACAACUAAGUUUUGAGAGAUGACAAGAAGAUGAAUGGUGUAAAUUGGCGGCUGAAUGUGGCAAGCUGACCAGUCGACGGAUUUUCGUCUUCUUAUGUUUUGAGUAAACUAAUUUUGCAAGUUAUCAGAUCAGCCAUCAAGGAUGGAACUGGACUGCAUGGACAUAUAAUGAAGAAGGAUUGAGAAGCACUGUGUUACAGAAUGGGAGUGGAGUCCAGAGGUCAGGGGAACACCAGGUCGACCCAAAACAACAUGAAGUCAAUGGUUGAGGAAGAAAGGUGGGCGACUGCCAUAGCUCUAGCAACAAAUCUAAGUCGAUGAAUGGGGAAUGUCAAAGCCUCAUAUGCCUUAUGGCAUGGAGAGAUAUAGCUAUAGGUAUAGGUAAACUGAUUUUGGAAUCCAGCUGAACAGGAUAUGUAUGCAAGAUAUUAGUACAGCAACUGGGUUAUAAGAAAAGAAGCCAGUCGACUGAAGAUACAUGUAGUCAUUAAAUGUGGCUUGUUUAACUCAUAUGAUUGGGCACAAGAAAUUUUCAGCCUUCUCAGUUACUUUUCUGAAGUUUCCCAAGUCAAAAUCUGUAAAUUAGGCUACCAGUUUUCUAUAAGAGUGAUGCACUCCACCAGUCAAGAUUUGUUGACAAUCUCAGUUAGUCCAGAGUGCAAUGGCAGAAGUUGAAAGGACAGAGACCUUGAUUUAAGACAUAAUUCUGGCUGUGUCCUUGUGCUCAUGUGUGUAUUCAAGGCACAAAAAUAGUAAUGGCUAGUCAAAACAGCUUUAAAUUUUAUUGUACAGUUUUGCAUUGAUUUCUCUUUAAACCAACUAUCCACAAGAUUGGACUUUUUGUUCAAGAUGCAUUGUUUUCAUUUAUUGCCAGUUUUUUGGGGGGGAGGCGGG
rnacentral:lncRNA from 1 species